GAUGAACGCUGGCGGCGUGCUUAACACAUGCAAGUCGAACGGAGCACUUUAUUUUAUUUCCUUCGGGACUGAUUCUUUUGUGACUGAAUCACGGACGUGUGCUUACCGCGAGUGUAACCUGCCUUGUACAGGGGGGUACCAGUUGGAAACAGCUGCUACUACCGCAUAAGCGCGCAGCGACGCUUGCUGCGGUUUGAAAAACUCCGGUGGUAUAAGAUGGACCCGCGUUGGAUUAGCGAGUGGGUGAGGUAGCGGCCAACCAAGGCGACGAUCCCUAGCCGAGCGGAGAGGGUGCCCGGCUAGAUUGGGACUGAGACACGGCCCAAAAUCGGACGGGAGGGAGGAGUGGGGAAUAUUGCACAAUGGGCGAAGGCGUGAUGCAGCGACGCGGGGGGAGCGAAGAAUUAGUUCGGUAUGUAAAGUUCUAUCAGCAGGGAAGAGAAUGACGGUACCUGACUAAGAAGCACCGGCUAAAUACGUG
rnacentral:rRNA from 1 species